AGCGAGAGUAGUUGUUAAUAUGUGAUUCUAUGAAUGGGGAGAAGAAUUACACACAAAGGAGCCCGUGAGGCUCAUAAAUCAACAUUAGAUGUUUUUUAUCCAUUUGUUUUAGAAAUGUGACCGACCUAAUAAUUUGAUACCAUGAUGCUUUUAUUCCUCCUAAAUUAGACCUACGUUGACUUGCGAUUGAGAAGGUAUAAGGUAUUUUGUUGUUUGUCUGUUUGUGUUUAUUAACAUUUUUUGCUUGUUUCCUUUGGUUAGUUUUAGUUAGUAAAAGCGAUGCUGAGCCAGUAGGUGGCGGUAAUGCGCCGCUUAGUUGUUUGCCAAGCGCCAAAGAAAACACAGAAGAAGAGCGCGCGCCGCGGACGUACACAACAAACAUGGCGGGGGGCCGAACAGAAACACACACCUGUGACAAAUGCUAAUUAAAAAGUUUUUUUGACGAUACAGGCAGCACAACUACCAACCUCGUGACUCACCUGAAGCCACCGCGGAGGCGUCUGCCAGUCAACCGGCCUCCCCGCGCCCCGGCUCCGGAGUCAUCGACGGCGACUCCCCCCGAGACUAGUGGUGACGUGGCUCUGCUCUCCCGUGAAUCCCCACCUGCGAAGAGCACGACCAACAUCUUCUCUGCCUACCUCCUGCCAAAGACUCCCAGGCCCCUCAUUCCAGUGCAUCUCUCAGCACUGCCUCUCUUCUCCCUCUCUAGUCUCUGCGAGAAAAGCACCUGAGGGCCUGCACAGGUAUUUCUGCUGAAAGCUAUAAUAAAUCAUUUUGCCUUUGUGUCUCGGCGCUCUGCCCGUUUUGCUAAUGUGUUUUCUCUCUUCCAUCCUGAUUUUGGGGUUGAAAGACACCUACUUUAAAUAGGCGCAGGAGUGUGCUAAGACAGAUUCAGUGCUUGCAAGUGAUUCCUGGUCCUUGUCAUCACUCCAAUGCCCCAUUUCCCCAGGCUGAAUAACACAGGAAGCUUAGUGAGACACCUAUAACAAGUAACAGGUAAGGAGAUGAGAGGAGGGGGGAAGAAAAGAGAAAAUGUAGAAAUUGAAUAUUUGAUUGAUAAUCUUCUGUUGCUGUCCAGCAGAGUUUUGAUCAUAACUCUAUAUGAAAUGCCAGUUACUUUGGUUGUGGUAAAGUGACUCCAGUGAGAAGAAGAAGUAUAGUGUUUAUUCAAAGAGGAAAAAUUCACAUUUUGACCAAAUUUACUCUGUAUAGAGAACAGAUCAGCAGGCCAUGUAAAUAUAAAAAAAAUGGUUUAAUAAAACCAUGAGGGAUGAGAGUUUCCAAAGUACAUAUUAUCUAUGGAGAGGUCACAGUGGUAAAGCAGCCCGCCAUCCGUCUGCAUUGUUUUUGGUGGCCAGAAAGUCAUGAGCGUUCAUUGGAAUCUUUUGGUCAGAGCUUCGCGUUUGAGCCCGAGCCUUCCUGACAACCCCUU
rnacentral:lncRNA from 1 species